AGGAUUCCCAGCACUUAGCUGGUGGGCAAAGGGGUUCAACCCCUUCCCCACACCCCACCUUCCCUCCUCCCAGUCUUCGGGAUUGCGGAGCUCCUGCCGGGAUCCAAGAGCAGGCUCUUGGAGGUCGAAGAAGGAUAUAACCUCCAGACCUGGAAUUUAAGACGCAAGAACCAGCCAGCAAAAGUGGCAGCCGAGCAUGCGAGGGACUGCUGAUGGCUUUUUAUUAGGAAGCUAUGCAACUUGAGGUUCUACUGAAAAGGAGAAGAGGCCACUGGAGAUGGGAAGCCACGAAAACAUGAAGAUGUAGAAGUCUCAGCUCCUUCAAUGCUAUGUCUGCCAAGAUGCUGCCACACUCCCUUCUUGAUGAUAAUGGACUGAACCUCUGAACCUUAUAUGAAACAUAGUAGACGUGUAAUAAAUGACCGUCCCCUGAGAUGCUCUAGGAUGCUCCAAAAAGGACCUAUUGGGAAACAAAGGCUGGGCAACCUCAGUUGUCUGAGAAGAGCAGGAGGACUGAAUCUGGCAAGAGGCAGUCUUCAUUUAAACUGGCUCACCCAGAGGUGGGACAGAGUCAAUAACACACCAGGAACCUGUUUGGAAGUACUAAGUGGUGGUUGCAUGAAAAGGGAAGGAGGAUCAACCACUAACACCUACAUGGACAGAGCCCCACCAACUUUAAGAAUCAGGAAGAAACUGGGUGUGGUGGCACACGCCUUUAAUCCCAGCACUCAGGAGGCAGAGGCAGAGGCAGGCGGAUUUCUGAGUUCGAGGCCAGCCUGUUCUACAAAGGACGAGAAACUACAGCAUUACUUCUGCAGAUUCACAAAGGAGUCCACGUUCCAAGAUGAGAGAAAUACCAGAAGCCGAUGGCUAUUCUACUUGACUGAAUGAAAAGAAAAGGAAGGCACUUCCUGUCAAUCCUGCUUUGGAUUCCUAGACAGUUUAAGAAGCACCAUUGAUCUGAUCAUUGGCACUGAGGAGGAAAUGCCCAUCCGCAGAAGACAUGCAGGGCUCAACCCAGCUUGACAUGGGCAGUGAGUGGUUUCUGAUGUAACCCUUUCUGUAAACUACCCCCUCACACACAUGUAAACCCCUGCUUCCUCCUUUAAGUAGCCACAUUGGUGGUGCCUCUGUUGUAAGGUUACAGGGGAGAAUGACUAGACAGUAGUGAGGAAAGCAUUUGGGAAGGUGAUUCGUUUCUGUUUUUCUGGUACUCUCCCAAAACAGGAGAUACUCUUGUUGCAUAGAUGCAGUCAGUGGUUUCUUGCAGUCAGUGGUUUCUUGGAUUUGGGGAGUUAAAAGUCAUGUGACACAGGCCUAUUGACACAUCGAUGUGAGGAGUUUAAGGUAAUGCUGCUGUGAUUGAGAAGAAUCGCCCCAGUAAAGCUUUAGCAUGAAGCCAAGCAGCUUAUAAUGACACAGGAUUCUCAAUGAAUGAAGUUUUAAGGGAUAAAAUCUUUACAAUGAAAUAAAAACAAUCUUAAGAAAACGAUUAGGCUCUAGUAAAAAUAAGCUGUGUUUUAAGAGUGGUUUCUAUAUUCAGCGUUAUUAUCCUUCACUUAUACUCAGAUAAAUAUGUUAUGCUCAAGCUGGCUCAUAGUCUUCAGAAAUAAGAAUGGACAUUAUACUUUGAUGUAAUAUCAACAUGUUGCAUAUACAAAGUAAACACUUUUGGUGAUAAAAAA
rnacentral:lncRNA from 1 species